rnacentral:rRNA from 1 species
AGAUUGAACGCUAGCGGAAUGCUUUACACAUGCAAGUCGAACGGCAGCGCGGACUUCGGUCUGGCGGCGAGUGGCGAACGGGUGAGUAAUAUAUCGGAACGUGCCCAGUAGCGGGGGAUAACUACGCGAAAGCGUGGCUAAUACCGCAUACGCCCUACGGGGGAAAGGGGGGGAUCGCAAGACCUCUCACUAUUGGAGCGGCCGAUAUCAGAUUAGCUAGUUGGUGAGGUAAAGGCUCACCAAGGCGACGAUCUGUAGCUGGUUUGAGAGGACGACCAGCCACACUGGGACUGAGACACGGCCCAGACUCCUACGGGAGCAGCAGUGGGAAUUUGGACAAUGGGGGAAACCUGAUCCAGCCAUCCCGCGUGUGCGAUGAAGGCCUU